CUGACCAUACGACUUACACGCCACCGUCUCCCGCAGGUAUGCUCGUCGGCGCCCUGUGCGCACUCACUGGCGUGCUGACGAUCGCCCUGCCGGUGCCCGUCAUCGUGUCGAAC
rfam:Macrostomum lignano uti_cns_0004721, whole genome shotgun sequence.